rnacentral:tRNA from 2 species
GGGGAAUUAGCUCAGCUGGCCAGAGCGCCUGCUUUGCAAGCAGGAGGUCAUCGGUUCGACUCCGAUAUUCUCCAC